rnacentral:tRNA from 1 species
UAGUAAAGUCAGCUAAACAAGCUUUCGGGCCCAUACCCCGAGAAUGUGGGUUAAACCCCCUCCUUUACUAA